UGGUUGGUUACAUUAAUAAAAUGUUUAUUGUAGAGCCAAUGCAGCUGAAAAUGUAUUUUAAAUUAAACACCAGUAUAAUGUAUUUAUCUUAAUUUUGCAGAUCCGUGUUAUCACAAACUCUUUUACAAUCUCAACAUUCAAUGAAGCAGAGGCAUUGAUGUGGCUGUUUAAUCAAAAGGCAGAAUCACUUGACCCCCUGUCAAAAUAUAACAGCUGCACAUCAGGACUGGGAAAUAAUUAUGUUCAUUUAACAAAGAUGGCUGUUGAUGAGCGGAGUGGAGACUUGUUAUUUCAGAAGAUGCUGGAAUUAGAAAAGGAGAUUCUUCAAAAAUGUAUCUCUGAACAUAGAAAUUCAUAGAUUUCUCCAGGCAUUUUUUUUUAUCAUUUUACAGGGAUGUCUUGUCCUCCCAUUGUUCAGCAACCUUAUUGGAAACCUUCAGAAGCAACGUUUUUGAGGGGAAAUUUGGAGACGCUUAUAACAUCAGUUAACAGGUCUCUGGAUACAUAACUCAGUUUUUUGGGGUAUAAACUGAAUGAUGAUUUCCUGCUCUGUUUGUAAUUGUCUUAGGAGAAUUAUACAAUUGUACCAGUAUGGGAUCUAUUAUCCAGAAUACUUGAGAUCUGGGGUUUUCCAGAUACAGGGCCUUGCUGUAAUUUAGGGCACUACUGUACUACAUUUAAAUAAAAAAAAAUUUAAAUA